rnacentral:rRNA from 1 species
CGUAGGUUGCGAGCGUUGUCCGGAUUUACUGGGCGUAAAGCGCGCGCAGGCGGUCCUGUAAGUCUGCGGUGAAAGCUCCCGGCCCAACUGGGAGAGGCCCGCGGAAACUACAGGACUUGAAGGCGGGAGAGGCAAAUGGAAUUUCCGGUGUAGCGGUAAAAUGCGUAGAUACCGGAAGGAACACCAGUGGCGAAAGCGAUUUGCUGGCCCGCCCUUGACGCUCAGGCGCGAAAGCUAGGGGAGCGACCGGGAUUAGAUACCCCGUUAGUCCUAGCCGUAAACGAUGGUCACUAGGUGUUGUCGGUAUCGACCCCGGCAGUGCCGUAGCCAACGCAUUAAGUGACCCGCCUGGGGAGUACGACCGCAAGGUUA